AAUGAACGUUGGCGGCGUGGAUUAGGCAUGCAAGUCGAGCGCGAUAUGUAGCAAUACAUGGAGAGCGGCGAAAGGGAGAGUAAUACGUAGGUAUCUACCCUCGGGUCUGGGAUAGCAGCGGGAAACUGCUGGUAAUACCAGAUAACGUCUCCGGACCAAAGGUGUGAUUCCACCUGAGGAGGAGCCGACGGCCUAUUAGCUAGUUGGCAGGGUAACGGCCUACCAAGGGAAAGAUGGGUAUGGGGUGUGAGAGCAUGCCCCCACUCACUGGGACUGAGACACUGCCCAGACACCUACGGGUGGCUGCAGUCGAGAAUCUUCGGCAAUGGGCGAAAGCCUGACCGAGCGACGCCGCGUGCGGGAUGAAGGCCUUCGGGUUGUAAACCGCUGUCGUAGUGGAGGAAAUGUAGGAGAGUUAUCUCUUUUACUUGACUAAUACUAGGAGGAAGGACCGGCUAAUCUCGUGCCAGCAGCCGCUGUAAUAC
rnacentral:rRNA from 1 species